CAGCUUCAUGUCAGAAGUGUACUUUUCCCUCCUCCUUCCUGAGAGCACACGUCAAAAGCCUGCCUGCUAUGUGCCAGACACACCUUCAGAGCUGAAGAUGCUGAGGUGUGGUCUCUGCACCUAAAGGACACACAUUAGUGAGUGUGUAAGCACCAAAAGCGAUUGGCCAGCUGAAUGCAGAAACACCAAGCACAGAUUUCCUGAUUUUCCCUCUCACCUCUCAGUGGUCCUGAGAAGUCCUCACGGAUCCCAUACCUACCUCGGUUUUAAAUCUACAGCAAAGUUCCUAGCAGGAAACCUACUAGGUGGGGCUGUAUCCACAUGCCUUAUCUCCACGCAGAGGCCUGCACAGAGCUGGGAAUGGCUGGACUCCGUUGUGGUGAUGCCUGUUCUGGGCCCCUUUCCUCAUUUCCUGAGGGCUUACUUCUCCACUAUUGUCCCUAGGUUCCGCAAACAAGAUGAUCAGUGUAAAGU
rnacentral:lncRNA from 1 species